rfam:Brevundimonas sp. Root1423 contig_5, whole genome shotgun sequence.
CGGAGUGUAGCGCAGCCUGGUAGCGCAUCUGGUUUGGGACCAGAGGGUCGGAGGUUCGAAUCCUCUCACUCCGA